UACAGAGGUCUCAAGCGUUGUUCGGAUUCAUUAGGCGUAAAGGGUGCGUAGGUGGCAUGGUAAGUCGGAUGUGAAAUCCCGGGGCUCAACCCCGGAACUGCAUUCGAAACUGCAGGGCUAGAGUCCUGGAGAGGAAGGUGGAAUGCUUGGUGUAGAGGUGAAAUUCGUAAAUAUCAAGCGGAACACCGGUGGCGAAGGCGGCCUUCUGGACAGUGACUGACGCUGAGACGCGAAAGCUAGGGGAGCGAACAGG
rnacentral:rRNA from 1 species